UACGUAGGGUGCGAGCGUUAAUCGGAAUUACUGGGCGUAAAGCGUGCGCAGGCGGCGCGUUAAGACAGGUGUGAAAGCCCCCGAGCUUAACUUGGGAAUUGCGCUUGUGACUGGCGUGCUGGAGUGUGGCAGAGGGAGGUGGAAUUCCACGUGUAGCAGUGAAAUGCGUAGAGAUGUGGAGGAACACCGAUGGCGAAGGCAGCCUCCUGGGCCAGCACUGACGCUCAUGCACGAAAGCGUGGGGAGCGAACAGG
rnacentral:rRNA from 1 species